rnacentral:rRNA from 1 species
GACGAACGCUGGCGGCGUGCUUAACACAUGCAAGUCGAACGGAAAGGCCCUGCUUUUGUGGGGUGCUCGAGUGGCGAACGGGUGAGUAACACGUGAGUAACCUGCCCUUGACUUUGGGAUAACUUCAGGAAACUGGGGCUAAUACCGGAUAGGAGCUCCUGCGGCAUGGUGGGGGUUGGAAAGUUUCGGCGGUUGGGGAUGGACUCGCGGCUUAUCAGCUUGUUGGUGGGGUAGUGGCUUACCAAGGCUUUGACGGGUAGCCGGCCUGAGAGGGUGACCGGCCACAUUGGGACUGAGCUACGGCCCAGACUCCUACGGGAGGCAGCAGUGGGGAAUAUUGCCCAAUGGGCGGAAGCCUGAUGCAGCAACGCCGCGUGCGGGAUGACGGCCUUCGGGUUGUCAACCGCUUUCGCCUGUGACGAAGCGUGAGUGACGGUAAUGGGUAAAGAAGCACCGGCUAACUACGUG